GUGGCCUCUGGUACUCUCCGUCGGUCAGAGCACGGCAGGCGUAACGGGAAAUUGGGUGUGAAUCCCAUGCCGCCCGGCGACUGUGAGCGGCGACGGCAACCGCGGGGUCCUGCUUCAGGACCUGCCACUGGGGGAAACCCUGGGAAGGCGCGGCUAGCCGGUUGACCCGCAAGCCAGGAGACCGACGCAUGCCGAUGGUGUUGA
rnacentral:ncRNA from 2 species